UACGGGAGGCAGCAGUGGGGAAUUUUGGACAAUGGGCGAAAGCCUGAUCCAGCCAUCCCGCGUGCAGGAUGAAGGCCUUCGGGUUGUAAACUGCUUUUGUACGGAAAGAAAAGACUCUGGUUAAUACCUGGGGUCCAUGACGGUACCGUAAGAAUAAGCACCGGCUAACUACGUGCCAGCAGCCGCGGUAAUAUGUAGGGUGCAAGCGUUUAUCGGAAUUACUGGGCGUAAAGCGUGCGCAGGCGGUUAUAUAAGACAGAUGUGAAAUCCCCGGGCUCAACCUGGGAACUGCAUUUGUGACUGUAUAGCUAGAGUACGGCAGAGGGGGAUGGAAUUCCGCGUGUAGCAGUGAAAUGCGUAGAUAUGCGGAGGAACACCGAUGGCGAAGGCAAUCCCCUGGGCCUGUACUGACGCUCAUGCACGAAAGCGUGGGGAGCAAACACGGAUUAGAUACCCUGGUAGUCCACGCCCUAAACGAUGUCAACUGGUUGUUGGGUCUUCACUGACUCAGUAACGAAGCUAACGCGUGAAGUGCCCGCCUGGA
rnacentral:rRNA from 1 species